UACAGGAUUCCUCUAGUAAGGGCGACUGAAGCAGGAACAAGCUCGCUCUUUAAUCUGUGCUAUUGCACCGAAUUGUGGUUGGAUGUACUUCGAUCUUCCGGAUCCUGAAUAAGUCCGUUGGAAAACGGCAGCUGAGAGGGUGACACUCCCGUCUGUUUCAGGAUCUGUGUUGACUAGAAAGUGUAUCCAUCGAGUCAAGUUGUUUGGGAUUGCAGCUUAAAGUGUAUGGUAGAUUCCAUAUAAAGCUAAAUAUUGGUAGAAGACCGAUAGCAAACAAGUACUGUGAAGGAAAGAUGAAAAGAACUUUGAAAAGAGAGUUAAAGAGUACCUGAAACUGUUGAAAGGGAAGGGGAUGAAACCAGUGUCGGUCCGUGUCAUAUUUCUGGUGUUACUUGUAACGCUGGCGCUGUGGCAUGGUUUGGGUCAGCACGGGUUCAAUCAAGGUGAAAUUGUUUUGAAAUAUGUGGCCUCCUAGAGGUGUCUGGUUUCAAUUCUUUGGCCUAGAUUGGACUGAGGCAGUCUUUUAGCUCGUGGUGCUGGCGAAAUGGUUUUAUCUCUCCCGUCUUGAAACACGGACCAAGGAGUCUAACAUAUGUGCGAGUACAGGAUUGGCAAAAUCCCGUGCGCAAUGAAAGUGACAGUGGUAGGACCUUCGGGCACUAUCCGCCGGCCAACACUCUUCGGAGGAAAGGUUUGAGUGUGAGCAUACAUGUUGGGACCCGAAAGGUGGUGAACUAUUCCGAAUAGGGUAAAGCC
rnacentral:rRNA from 1 species